rnacentral:rRNA from 1 species
UACGUAGGGCGCAAGCGUUGUCCGGAAUUAUUGGGCGUAAAGAGCUCGUAGGCGGCUUGUCACGUCGGGUGUGAAAGCCCGGGGCUUAACCCCGGGUCUGCAUUCGAUACGGGCUAGCUAGAGUGUGGUAGGGGAGAUCGGAAUUCCUGGUGUAGCGGUGAAAUGCGCAGAUAUCAGGAGGAACACCGGUGGCGAAGGCGGAUCUCUGGGCCGAUACUGACGCUGAGACGCGAAAGCGUGGGGAGCGAACAGG